rnacentral:lncRNA from 1 species
CUUAUGCCUGUCAGCUAGGUUUAUUAAUUUUUAACAAAGUGUAUUACUUUUAAAAGCUAUCUAUUUACUAUUGGGGGAGGGAGAAGGACAAAGGACAUCUUGCAGAACUGACCCUGCAAGAAAAAACUUAUUAAGGAAAACCUCUUACCUCAGUAGUUCUAAACCCUGAUUCUGUGCAAUAAACACCUGGGGCACCUGAAACAGUUAGUUCCUGGCACCUCUUUAACUACUCUAGCUACCAGGGAGUCUGGCCUAGCAUGGCCAGGUUGUAGAAAUCCUCGGAGAUUCGUGUGUGCAACUGAGAAAAUGGGUAGAGUUUCCCUCCUCUUUCUCCUACUCCUCCUUCUCUUCCUCAUCUUCUUCCUCUUUUCCCCUCUUCUCCUCUUCUUCUUCCCCCUCCUCCUUCCUCUCCUCCUCCCCACCUU